UACGGAGGGUGCGAGCGUUGUCCGGAAUCAUUGGGCGUAAAGGGCGCGUAGGUGGCCCCUCAAGCGUGCGGUGAAAGUCAGGGGCUCAACCCCUGAUCGGCCGUGCGAACUGGGGAGCUUGAGCACCGUAGAGGCAGGCGGAAUUCCGGGUGUAGCGGUGGAAUGCGUAGAGAUCCGGAAGAACACCGGUGGCGAAGGCGGCCUGCUGGGCAGUUUUGCUGACACUGAGGCGCGACAGCGUGGGGAGCAAACAGG
rnacentral:rRNA from 1 species